rnacentral:rRNA from 1 species
CCUACUGGGGGCAGCAGUGAGGAAUAUUGGUCAAUGGACGAGAGUCUGAACCAGCCAAGUAGCUUGAAGGAUGACUGCCCUAUUGGUUGUAACCUUCUUUUAUAUGGGAAUAACAGGUUCCACGUGUGGGAUUUUUUAUGUACCAUAUGAAUAAGGCUCGGCUAACUCCGUGCCCGCAGCCGCGGUAAUACGGAGGAUCCGAUCGUUAUCCGGAUUUAUUUGGUUUAAAGGGAGCGUAGGUGGAUUGUUAAAUCAGUUGUGAAAGUUUGCGGCUCAACCGUAAAAUUGCAGUUGAAACUGGCAGUCUUGAGUACAGUAGAGGUGGGCGGAAUUCGUGGUGUAGCGGUGAAAUGCUUAGAUAUCACGAAGAACUCCGAUUGCGAAGGCAGUUCACUGGACUGCAACUGACACUGAGGCUCGAAAGUGUGGGUAUCAAACAGGAUUAGAUACCCCAGUAGUC